rnacentral:rRNA from 1 species
GGAGUUAGCCGGUGCUUCUUCUGUGAGUGAUGUCCUUCCUGCCGGCUAUUAACCCGCAGGCCUUCUUCCUCACUGAAAGUGCUUUACAACCCGAAGGCCUUCUUCACACACGCGGCAUGGCUGGAUCAGGGUUGCCCCCCAUUGUCCAAUAUUCCCCACUGCUGCCUCCCGUAGGAGUCUGGGCCGUGUCUCAGUCCCAGUGUGGCUGAUCAUCCUCUCAGACCAGCUACGGAUCGUCGCCUUGGUGAGCCGUUACCUCACCAACCAGCUAAUCCGACAUAGGCUCAUCCGAUAGCGCGAGGCCCGAAGGUCCCCCGNUUUCCCCCGUAGGGCGUAUGCGGUAUUAGCCUGGGUUUCCCCAGGUUAUCCCCCACUACCGGGCAGAUUCCUAUGCAUUACUCACCCGUCCGCCGCUCGCCACCAGGGAGCAAGCUCCCCGUGCUGCCGCUCGACUUGCAUGUGUUAGGCCUGCCGCCAGCGUUCAAUCUGAGCCAGGAUCAAACUCUGA